rnacentral:misc_RNA from 1 species
AACAUCGCGCACCUGCGGGAACCUGCGGAGGGAUCAUUAAUUAAGACGAUGCCCUUCUUAGGGAACUCCUCCCGGCAUUUGCCGGGUGCACUCACCUCUCCUUGUGAAUAGACCUAUUGCUUUGGUAGCAUCCUACCAGUUGGGUUGUUAGCCUACCUCUAGCUUACAAUAAAAUCUCUGUGAUAUUCUGUGAGAUGUCUGAAAAGAAACAGUAAAUUUUACAAAACUUUUAACAAUGGA